GAUGAACGCUGGCGGCGUGCCUAAUACAUGCAAGUCGAGCGAACAGACGAGGAGCUUGCUCCUCUGACGUUAGCGGCGGACGGGUGAGUAACACGUGGAUAACCUACCUAUCAGACUGGGAUAACUUCGGGAAACCGGAGCUAAUACCGGAUAAUAUAUUGAACCGCAUGGUUCAAUAGUGAAAGACGGUUUUGCUGUCACUUAUAGAUGGAUCCGCGCGGCAUUAGCUAGUUGGUAAGGUAACGGCUUACCAAGGCAACGAUGCGUAGCCGACCUGAGGGGGUGGUCGGCCACACGGGAAGUGAGACACGGUCCAGACUCCUACGGGAGGCAGCAGUAGGGAAUCUUCCGCAAUGGGCGAAAGCCUGACGGAACAACGCCGCGUGAGUGAUGAAGGUCUUCGGAUCGUAAAACUCUGUUAUUAGGGAAGAACAAAUGUGUAAGUAACUAUGCACGUCUUGACGGUACCUAAUCAGAAAGCCACGGCUAACUACGUG
rnacentral:rRNA from 1 species